rnacentral:rRNA from 1 species
AGCGGCGGAUGGGUGAGUAACACGUGGGGAACCUGCCCCUAAGUCUGGGAUACCAUUUGGAAACAGGUGCUAAUACCGGAUAAUAAAGCAGAUCGCAUGAUCAGCUUUUGAAAGGCGGCGUAAGCUGUCGCUAAGGGAUGGCCCCGCGGUGCAUUAGCUAGUUGGUAAGGUAACGGCUUACCAAGGCGACGAUGCAUAGCCGAGUUGAGAGACUGAUCGGCCACAUUGGGACUGAGACACGGCCCAAACUCCUACGGGAGGCAGCAGUAGGGAAUCUUCCACAAUGGACGCAAGUCUGAUGGAGCAACGCCGCGUGAGUGAAGAAGGUUUUCGGAUCGUAAAGCUCUGUUGUUGGUGAAGAAGGAUAGAGGUAGUAACUGGCCUUUAUUUGACGGUAAUCAACCAGAAAGUCACGGCUAACUACGUGCCAGCAGCCGCGGUAAUACGUAGGUGGCAAGCGUUGUCCGGAUUUAUUGGGCGUAAAGCGAGCGCAGGCGGAAAAAUAAGUCUAAUGUGAAAGCCCUCGGCUUAACCGAGGAACUGCAUCGGAAACUGUUUUUCUUGAGUGCAGAAGAGGAGAGUGGAACUCCAUGUGUAGCGGUGGGAUGCGUAGAUAUAUGGAAGAACACCAGUGGCGAAGGCGGCUCUCUGGUCUGCAACUGACGCUGAGGCUCGAAAGCAUGGGUAGCGAACAGGAUUAGAUACCCUGGUAGUUCAUGCCGUAAACGAUGAGUGCUAAGUGU